UACGUAGGGUGCAAGCGUUAAUCGGAAUUACUGGGCGUAAAGCGUGCGCAGGCGGUUAUAUAAGACAGUUGUGAAAUCCCCGGGCUCAACCUGGGAACUGCAUCUGUGACUGUAUAGCUAGAGUACGGUAGAGGGGGAUGAAAUUCCGCGUGUAGCAGUGAAAUGCGUAGAUAUGCGGAGGAACACCGAUGGCGAAGGCAAUCCCCUGGACCUGUACUGACGCUCAUGCACGAAAGCGUGGGGAGCAAACAGG
rnacentral:rRNA from 1 species